GGGCCCGCACAAGCGGUGGAGCAUGUGGUUUAAUUCGAAGCAACGCGCAGAACCUUACCCAGGCUUGACAUCUCUAGAACCUCAGGGAAACCCGAGGUGCCUCCUCACGGAGGAAUUAGAUGACAGGUGCUGCAUGGCUGUCGUCAGCUCGUGCUGUGAAGUGUUCGGUUAAGUCCGGCAACGAGCGCAACCCCUAUCGUUAGUUACCAGCAUUCAGUUGGGGACUCUAGCGAGACUGCCGGUGAUAAACCGGAGGAAGGUGGGGAUGACGUCAAGUCCUCAUGGCCCUUAUGUCUGGGGCUACACACGUGCUACAAUGCUACGGACAAAGGGCAGCAAACUCGCGAGAGC
rnacentral:rRNA from 1 species